CUCUGAUGAUUUCUGAUGACGAGUCUGAUCUGGCCUCGCCAAUGCAGACAACCAUAUAUUUUACCAUUCAUGCAAACCCUGACU
rnacentral:snoRNA from 1 species